AACACUAAAGCAUUCUCUACUUCCUUUCUUUGUUCUAGUUGUAAGUAACCUUCAAAUCCUUUUUUUUAUGAUGUGUAUAUGUUUAUAUGAUGAACAAGCAUGUAUAUUGAAGCAUGAUAGUCCCUUCUCUACUUCUAUGAUUUUCGAAAAUUUUAUGAAGGAAAGUAUUAUGAACUCCUUCAAGCUUUCAACUACUUUUCACAUGCUUAUACACCUCUACAUGUUAGAUACAUGAGAGCGGAAGAUAUAUUCUUGAAAACCCUUAAGAGGGUUAUAUGUUAUGAUAUUUGAAGAAUGAUGAGUUUUUACCAUGAAAAUGCAUGAGAAUGGUGGUGAAAUUGAAGAUCUAAGAUCAUAUGUGUAAAAGUUAUAAUUUCAACCACUUUGGGAAUUUUUCCUACGUUCUGAACUGAUGAGUCGAUGUGGUUUCCCUCGUCUAAAAUUCUUCAAACUUUUAUGGUGUGUAGAUAUGUUGUCUUGAGAAUGUGGUAAAAUUCAAGUCAUUUUAACCUUGUUUACUACCGUUUUAAAUUAUAAAACUUCUACUGCGAAAUUCUACCGGAAAUUUGGAAGGGCAGUCACUAGAGUCACACUUUUCAGUAUCUUUCAAAAACAUUCAGCCUCCCAAAUUUUUAUGGUAGAAAGAUACAUGUGUUAUACAGAGGCAUAACGAAUUUCAAGCCAUUUGGGCAAUGUUUACUAUUUUUCAAAAAUCUUAACUUCCAGUUGUCCGAAACUGCCGAAUCUGGUAGACUGUGGGAAAACAUCUAUAUCUCUUAAAUCACUUGGAGUUUUUCAACCUACUUUUUUUAAAUGAAACUAGACUCAAAGAGGUUUUCAACUGUAUAAGUCUUGAAUCUAGGAGAUUUCUGAGAUGAAACAGUUUAUUCUUUAAAGACGAGGCAGUGCAGAGUAGUAAGUUGUAGGUGUUCGAAAUUUCUUACUUUUGAUAUUGUAUUGAGAAUUUUAAAGUUUUGGUGAUGGUAUACACCAUAUUAUUUCAUGAAAAUGCUACUGGAAUAUAUAUAUAUAUAUAUAUAUAUAUAUAUAUAUAUAUAUAUAUAUAAAAAGGAUUUAUGAAAUAUUAAUAGUACAAUUAUUAUAGGAAAUGAUUGUUUGGACUUUAAAGGUUUGAAAAAAUGUUUGAGUGGAAAACUCUUUUAUAUAUAUAUUNNNNNNNNNNNNNNNNNNNNNNNNNNNNNNNNNNNNNNNNNNNNNNNNNNNNNNNNNNNNNNNNNNNNNNUAUAUAUAUAUAUAUAUAUAUAUAUAUAUAUAUAUAUAUAUAUAUACCCAUAUAUAUAUAUUUGAAAUUUUUUGGAAUUUUCAAAAAGGAUUUAUGAGAUUUAAUUGUCACAAUUCUUAUAGGAAAUGAUUGUUUGGACUUUUAAAGGUUUGAAAAGAAUGAUGGAGUGGAAAAACUCUUUUAUAUAUAUAUUCCAUAGCUUACAUGAAUAUUUGAGAAUUUACUUACAAGGAAAAAGAUUUCAAAUUUCAUAGAGUGACUUUUAAGUCAUUUGACUAUUAAGAUAAAUUGUGAAAAUGUAUUAUGUGGAAUAAUUGAUUAAUUUUAAGUGUGAAUGACUAUGUGAAUUAUUGAGUGCUAUUUACCUAUAAGAUUGAGAGUCUUUUAAUUGGAUAAGAUAUCCAAUUACUUGGGAGGUUCAAUUGGGUAAAUAGUGGAGAAGUUAUAAGAUGAGAUUAAGCAUAUAAUGAGAGCAUAAGUGUUGAGAUAUUAGUUAGAUUAUUUUCUAACUAGAGUUUAUUUUGUCACAUGGCAAUCUAAACCACGUGCGCCACCAAAGGUUCGAGUGACGGCCGACGUUAGUACGACUCUGAGCUCUACGUCAUCGACCCUUGAGACAGGUGGGCUUUAUUCUAACUCUAUUAUGGCAAGCUACCAUGAUAAUGAGUUCAAAUGCAAAUCUUAUGAAAAAUGAAGCAUGUUGAAGUAUUAUUGAUGAGUAUUAUGAAAAUUGUCAACUUGCCAUAUUUACUAUUGAUGAGAAUGAAAUGUGGUAUGUUGCCUCUAUGAAAGAAAUGACUAUGAUCACGAUGCAAGAUAUCGACCUUUAACUGAUUUAUACGACAGUAAAGGUUUUGUGCGCAGAGGUGAUCGUGAGCCGUCUCUAGUCGGCCGGUCACGGUGAUUUGAAGGAGGUCUCCAUCUCUUCACCUAAUAUACAUAUGAUAUAUGAGUUCUCAUAGUUGGCACAUACCCUGAAUAUAAAUUGUCUGCAGACUAAUGAUAUUAUUAUGAUGAUGCAAAUAAGUUUAUGAUAGAAAAACAUGAAUAGGUAUUUUUAAUCUCACUUAAUCCUGUUGAUGCAUUGAAAAGGGCAAGGUUGACAUAUAGCUCUAAGAGCAACAUUUCAAUUAUUUCCGGCAUGAGUCCACUGAGUGCUUUUUGGUACUCAGCCCCGCAUAUAUUUCUAAAUGUGCAGGUCUUGCUUGGCGUGAGGAUGGGUGAAGGCUGUUGGAAUUGUCAGUUGGCCGUGUCUUUCCUAUGUCUCAUAUUUAUCUUUAUAUGGUUUGACUCUAUAAGUAACUGAACUCCCUGCUAUAUGUCUUCGCACAUAUAGUAACGUAUCCCGC
rnacentral:lncRNA from 1 species